rnacentral:rRNA from 1 species
CAUGCAGUCGAGCGCCCCGCAGGGGGAGCGGCAGACGGGUGAGUAACGCGUGGGAACGUACCUUUUGCUACGGAAUAACUCAGGGAAACUUGUGCUAAUACCGUAUGUGCCCUUCGGGGGAAAGAUUUAUCGGCAAGGAUCGGCCCGCGUUGGAUUACCUAGUUGGAGAGGUAAAGGCUCACCUAGGCGACUAUCCAUAGCUGGUCUGAGAGGAUGAUCAACCACACUGGGACUGAGACACGGCCCAGACUCCUACGGGAGGCAGCAGUGGGGAAUAUUGGACAAUGGGCGCAAGCCUGAUCCAGCCGUGCCGCGUGAGUGAUGAAGGCCCUAGGGUUGUAAAGCUCUUUCACCGGUGAAGAUAAUGACGGUAACCGGAGAAGAAGCCCCGGCUAACUUCGUGCCAGCAGCCGCGGUAAUACGAAGGGGGCUAGCGUUGUUCGGAUUUACUGGGCGUAAAGCGCACGUAGGCUGACUUUUAAGUCAGGGGUGAAAUCCCGGGGCUCAACCCCGGAACUGCCUUUGAUACUGGAAGUCUUGAGUAUGGUACAGGUGAGUGGAAUUC